CUUCUUGGUUAAGGAGAACUCAGGAAAAAAUUAAACAAAUGGAACUACAUCAAACUAAAAAGGUUUUGCACGCAAAGGGAACCAUCAACAAAUUGGAAAGAUUUGGAGCCCCUGAUUCAUGCUGUGAGGAAGUCCAAUGCCCUCCCCCAAACGUCUGUGUCUUUUCACAAAGGUGGAGUGAGAUGGUAUGUUACCAAAGCCAAUCAGGGCUUCUGCUUCAUAUCUGCUGCCUCAGUUCUGCAACUUGGCCCGUCUUGGAUUUACAACCACAUCCACACACACCCUCACACCCACACACACCCUCACACACAUACCCUUACCUUCACACUCAUGCACACAGAUGUAUCCAUACAAAGAAAUAGUGACAUUACCAAUGAUUUGAGGAUUAUGGGGCAGAGUUGCUACUAUGAAGGACAUAGCAAACAAUUUAAAUUGCUCAUUAACUAUUUCUGUUCUUAAAAGUACUUUCCUCCUCCUUGCUCCAAGAAGCUUCUUACUUGCUUUUGCAUUACAUCCUACCAGACUCCCACCAAUUCCCUCCUUCUUUCUCCCCCACACCCCUUCUUAUAUUUUCUGCUCUGGCCUCUACCCUUCAAAUAUGCGGAACAAGAUUGACCUCUUCACCUCUUUCUGCAAAAUCUUUCUCUCCAAACUCAUUAAAACUACUGAGCAGAAUCAUUUAACAGGGUCCACCCAAAAGACACCUCACAACUAUAAAAAGGAAACAAAGAGC